UUUGAUCUGAUACUGCUUCUCCACAUACGGGCAUAAAUACACACACACACACACACACAGAGCCGCACCGACUUCCUCUUUCACCUUUUUCUUUGUGAAGUCUCAACAAUGUUCUUUGCAGGAGGCACCUUUGGGGUAGAGAGUGAGGCCCGCGACGCCAAUAAACGCCCCUCGGGUCGCCGUCACCAAGCGCGCGACAUGGCCGAGCUGCAGGCCACAGUCAAUGCCGGCCAGGGCGUGCCGCCGGCGCCGGCGGAGGGUACUCUUUGCGCAGCCGCGCAAAGGCAGAUGGCAACUGGACCGUCGUUUCUCGACCGCAUGUACGAGCACAACUCGGCUGUCGUGGAAUCGGCCCACCCGACGCGCCGCCGCGGAUCGGCACCGGCGGACCACCUGAACAUCUUCUCAUGGCACGACACGGCCCCUGCAUCUCGCACGCCCCACCAGGGCCGCCAGGUGGCAGCUGGCGGAUCUCGCGCAACCCAACCCGUGAACACCACAGCACCAGUGCCUACUGCCGAGGACAGGCGGGCGGAGGAAGCGAGGAAAUUCGAGACGAACAGCGCGAGCGCAUUCCUGCGCUUUGCCGAUGCCCCGAAGGCUCAGCUCCGAGCUGAGGCUGGAAACCGCGGCGCGCGCACCGGUGCUGUUUCCGGGAAGCCCGCAUCAUCUCUGCCGCCCUGCAGCGACAUGAUGGGGAGUCUGACGCGCGAGCAACCGCCCCAACCGCGCGGGCGGCGUGGGCAGGCGGCCACACCCACCGGCAACCAAUCCAGUGUGCCGGAGGAGUCAGGUGUAGCCGGCUUCCCCGGGAUGGGCCAGCGCAGCAUCCCUCGCCGCCUGCCACAUCUCACGCGCAAGCCAGCGCAGUCGAAUGUCUUUCCAUCACCCACUGCGAAUUCCAUGCAGCAGGGAGACCUCGGUCAAAGGGAAAAUGCUGGUGGUACACGAGCACCGAAACCGGCGCCGAAGUCCAAGUGCAGCCCGCCCUAUUACAUAGACGAUGACGACUACGAGAACCACCGCCCCACGAGCGCCUGCGAGACGGAGGCGUACAACCAGCAGCCGUGCCAGCAAGAGAUCAGGAUGUGCGACGAAAAUGAAUAUGAUGGCCACGAUCAAGCACGUGCAGGUGACUUCGACGCGGAUGCGCAGCGCCGUGCUCAAGGGGCACCCAACCCGGAGUGGCUGUACGAUUCUACGGUUGGCGGUGACGCUGGCAGACUUCCUGCGAAGUCACCUUCGGAGCAGCGACGUCAGUACCAAUUCGAUGCAGAGAAGCAGCAGUUCUACGAGGCGGAUGUGCCGCCCCAACUUCAAACUUAGUAUAACUGAAGAUACGCGAGCGUGAGGUUGGUGCUGGAGGGAGGGAGGAGGCGGGUGAGGAAUGAGAACAAAGGAUUCCAAGCUAGUAGUAUUCGUUUGUAGGCACGUAAAGAGAGAGCGCCGCGUUUUGCCUUGCACGCCACCACCCCUCCUCCUCGGAUUGCAUUCCUGCGUGACGGGACCCGAGACCCUUUCCGUCCUACCUUCGGAUACGCGUGCGUAGUGCUUUGUUGCCUCCGACGCCAUUCGGUUUGAUUGUGCGUGUUUGCUUGCUUGCUUGUUUUUUGCGCUUUCCCUCCCUCAUGUAUGUACACACACACAAACACACACCUUCUUGGCCCGCACCCCUUCUUCAUUAAAGGCUUCCUCCCGAUAGAAGACGACAAACAAACGCACAUACACACACAUAUAUGUAGAGAUAGAGAGAUACAUCUGUACCUAUGUCUCCAUCAUAACAAUGGAUAUACAGACACUUUUGCUGUAUGUAUGUGUGAGUUUAUUGAUAUAUGUUUUCUUUUUGUGUAUGUGUGUGUACUGGUCGUCUGGGCACCGCCUGCCUCUCUCUUUUUCUCAUUGCCCCCACCACCCUCCCCACGACCAUCACUCUCUUUUCCCCUUCUCUCUUCUAUUCCUUUGCCAUCUAUGUAUGUGUGUGUCUCUCGCCAUGAGCUGGUUUUUCUUUCUUCGUUGUUUGUAUGCCGUUCAUUUGUGUCUGAAUCCCCCCGAGCAGGCAAGCAAAAAGAAAAUGGCGUCGAUACAGGCGAUGGAAGUGUCACUACCACUGCUGCUGGUCCCGCGAGUCCUGUGCUGUCUCGCUGUCUCCGCUUCGCGUCUCUCCUGCAUCGCCGUGUGUCUGCCUGUGUGUAUGUGUGCUGUGACACUUUUCUCUCGCCCCCACCCGCCCUCCUCCCAUGUUGUGCGUUCCAUCUUACAUCCAUUCAGAGGAUGUAACGUGAUAUCGCCAGUGGUGGUGGCCUUUGUAUCUUCCUCUCUGCAAGUCACCGUUGCUUGCUUGCUCGCAUCCGUGCACCUGUUCUUGUGGUAUAUAUAUAUAUAUAUAUGUAUAUGUCCUUGGUGCCGCCUCGACCUCGAUUUUUGAUUUUUGUGCCACUUUGUGGUCGCUGCAGGCGUGUUCGCUCCAGUACGAUUGGUUGCCUCCUCCUCGUUUUUGUUUUUGUUUUCGUUAGUUUUAUGUGUUGUCGUUGUGUCUCAUCGAACGUGUUUUCGUGUUCAUUCAGUUCGCGCUUCCCAACCUCAUCGUACAUACAUACACCUACAUAUAGAUACGCUUGCAUGCGCUGAAGGUUAGCGCACACGGCACCGCGAAUGAACAGCAACCAGAAGACAAGAAGCAUAGGUAAGCUAACAUACGCUUUCAAAGGAUGGAAACGAGACGCACCAAC
rnacentral:misc_RNA from 1 species